GUCCACGCCGUAAACGAUGGAUACUAGCUGUUGGGGCAACUUCAGUGGCUAAGCGAAAGUGAUAAGUAUCCCACCUGGGGAGUACGUUCGCAAGAAUGAAACUCAAAGGAAUUGACGGGGCCCGCACAAGCGGUGGAGCAUGUGGUUUAAUUCGAUGAUACGCGAGGAACCUUACCAAGGCUUAAAUGUAGAUUGACCGGUUUGGAAACAGAUCUUUCGCAAGACAAUUUACAAGGUGCUGCAUGGUUGUCGU
rnacentral:rRNA from 1 species